UGCACACAAACGAAUAAACAAUAGACAAGUAAUUGUUCAAAAAACUUAUGCCCACUUUUAGAAGGUUUGUACAAACUUAGGCCCUCUUUCAGAACCUUCUAGAAGAAGCAAUAUCUGUCAAAAUCUUUGGCUCCCAAACAAUCUAAAAGAUUAUGAGAAUUUGUAUAUAUUUUAGACCAAAAGAUACGCUAGCAAUAACACCAACUUUUCUAAGUUAUCAUAAUCAGGGCUCCUGGAUAAAAUAAAACUUCAAUUUUAGCUUCUCCUAGAUAUAUCAGUACAAAAUUAUAAAUAUUAAAAAUUCUAAUACAAUUGCACCCUACUUUUCCAAACCCCAAGACAUUUAUCUCCAACUUUAUCAAACCCAAAUCAAUUUUUUAUAAAAUAAAGUCUUCAGAGAUAAAUAAAGACGGCAAGAAAAUAAAGUCACG
rnacentral:lncRNA from 1 species